GCUGGAGUGGCAGAGCAGACAAUUGCACCAGUCUGUAAAACUGGCGCCGUAAGGCUUCGUAGGUGCGAAUCCUACCUCCAGCA
rnacentral:tRNA from 1 species